rnacentral:rRNA from 1 species
GAUGAACGCUAGCGGCAUGCCUAAUACAUGCAAGUCGAACGAGAUCCCUGUGGCUUCUUGCUAACAUCUGGUGAGAGUGGCGCACGGUAUGCGUAACGCGUGAUCCACCUGCCCAUAUCAAGGGGAUAGCCCGAAGAAAUUCAGAUUAACACCUCAUAUCACUACGAGAUGGCAUCGUCGAAUAGAUAAAUAUUUAUAGGAUAUGGAUGGGCUCUCGUGACAUUAUCUAGAUGGAGAGGUAACGGCUCACCACGGCGACUAUGUCUACGGGCUCUGAGACGAGAAUCCCCCACACUGGUACUGAGACACGAACCAUACUCCUACGGGAGGCAGCAGAAAUGAAUAUUGGUCAAUGGACCGAAGUCUGAACCACCCAUGCCGCGAGCACGAUGACUGCCCUAUGGGUUGUAAACUGCUUUUGACAAGGAAUAAACCUAUCUACGUGUAUAUAGCUGAAUGUACUCGAAGAAUAAGGAUCGGCUAACUCCGUGCCACCAACCGCGGUAAUACUGACGAUCCGAGCGUUAUCCGGAUAUAUUGGAUUUAAAGGGUGCCUACGCCGCACUUUAACUCAGGCGUGAAAGACCGAAGCUUAACUGUCCCAGUGCCUUUGAUACUGAAGUGCUUGAAUGCAGUUGAAGACGGCGGAAUGACACAAGUAGCGGUGAAAUGCAUAGAUAUGUCUCAGAACACCGAUUGCGAAGGCAGCUGUCUGAGCCGUUAUUGACGCUGAUGCACGAAAGCGUGGGGAUCGAACAGGAUUAGGUACCCUGGUAGUCCACGCCCUAAACGAUGAUAACUCGAUGUGUGCGAUAUACCGUAAGCGUACAAGCGAGAGCGUUAAGUUAUCCUCCUGGGGAGUACGCCCGCGAGGGUGAAACUCAAAGGAAUUGACGGGGGCCCCCACAAGCGGAGCAGCAUGUGGUUUAAUUCAAUGAUACGCGAGGAACCUUACCCGGGCUUGAAAGGUACUGAAGGCCGCAGAGACGCAUCCGUCCUUCGGGACAGGAAACUAGGUGCUGCAUGGCUGUCGUCAGCUCGUGCCGUGAGGUGUUGGGUUAAGUCCCGCAACGAGCGCAACCCCUAUGUUUACUUGCCAGCAUUUAAGGCGGGGACUCUAAACAGACUGCCUGCACAAGCAGAGAGGAAGGCGGGGACGACGUCAAGUCAUCAUGCCCCUUACGUCCGGGGCUACACAGCGUGCUACAAUGGAUGGUACAGCGGGCAGCUACAUAGCAAUAUGAUGCCAAUCUCGAAAAGCCAUUCACAGUUCGGAUCGGGGUCUGCAACUCGACCCCGUGAAGUUGGAUUCGCUAGUAAUCGCGUAUCAGCAAUGACGCGGUGAAUACGUUCCCGGGCCU